rnacentral:rRNA from 1 species
UACGGAGGGGGCUAGCGUUGUUCGGAAUUACUGGGCGUAAAGCGCGCGUAGGCGGCUUUGUAAGUUAGAGGUGAAAGCCUGGAGCUCAACUCCAGAACUGCCUUUAAGACUGCAUCGCUAGAAUCGUGGAGAGGUGGGUGGAAUUCCGAGUGUAGAGGUGAAAUUCGUAGAUAUUCGGAAGAACACCAGUGGCGAAGGCGACUCACUGGACACGUAUUGACGCUGAGGUGCGAAAGCGUGGGGAGCAAACAGG